rnacentral:rRNA from 1 species
GACGAACGCUGGCGGCGUGCUUAACACAUGCAAGUCGUACGGUAAGGCCCUUUCGGGGGUACACGAGUGGCGAACGGGUGAGUAACACGUGCGUAACCUGCCCACAACUUUGGGAUAACGCUAGGAAACUGGUGCUAAUACUGGAUAUGUGCUCCUGCUGCAUGGUGGGGGUUGGAAAGCUCCGGCGGUUGUGGAUGGACUCGCGGCCUAUCUGCUUGUUGGUGGGGUAGUGGCCUACCAAGGCGGCGACGGGUAGCCGGCCUGGGAGGGUGACCGGCCACAUUGGGACUGGGAUACGGCCCCGACUCCUACGGGGGGCCGCAGGGGGGAAUAUUGCCCAAUGGGCGCGAGCCUGAUGCAGCAACGCCGCGGGCGGGAUGACGGCCUUCGGGUUGUAAACCGCUUUCAGCAGGGACGAAGCUUUUUGUGACGGUACCUGCAGAAGAAGCACCGGCUAACUACGUG